AGGAUGAACGCUGGCGGCGUGCUUAACACAUGCAAGUCGAACGAUGAAGGCUGGAGCUUGCUCUGGCUGGAUUAGUGGCGAACGGGUGAGUAACUCGUGAGUAACCUGCCCCAGACUCUGGGAUAAGCGCUGGAAACGGCGUCUAAUACCGGAUACGAGCUUCCACCGCAUGGUGAGGAGCUGGAAAGAAUUUCGGUCUGGGAUGGACUCGCGGCCUAUCAGCUUGUUGGUGAGGUAAUGGCUCACCAAGGCGACGACGGGUA
rnacentral:rRNA from 1 species